GCCCAGGUGGCGAAAUUGGUAGACGCGCUCGUUUCAGGUGCGAGAGCCGCAAGGUGUGGGGGUUCGAGUCCCUUCCUGGGCA
rnacentral:tRNA from 1 species